UCACUCAUUCAUUAAUCCUUUAAGGUGGCAAUUCUGUAAGCACUUACUUGGGAGUAAGACCCUCUAAAAUCAAUGGGAUAUAAAGCUGUGCGGAUUGAUAGAAUAGUGCUGUUGGUCAGCUUCUGUUCCCUGUGACAGGAAGAACUUUGAUAACCAAGAAAUAAGCCAACCAGAAAACACAAAUCGUGCAGGUACAUAUGUGACAACAUUGAGGAGACGAAUCGAGAACUUGAUUGGCAGCAAUUCCACCAUUUAAAGUUGUCUCGCAUUUGCGCCAGACAUUGAUGAGGGUAAAAUGCUGGACCAGAAUGAUUCUUACCAUUUAUCGAUGUGUCUCAGAUACAAGAUCUUCUUAGCUUGAGAAAUGAAGGGACACCAGUGUUUAAUAAAACAAUCACGAUGUGUAAUUCUAUUUGA